rnacentral:rRNA from 1 species
UCGAGAAUUUUUCACAAUGGGGGCAACCCUGACGGAGCGACGCCGCGUGGAGGAUGAAGGUCUUCGGAUUGUAAACUCCUGUCAUUGGUGAACAAAGCAUUUCCGUUAACUGCGGGGGUGCCUGCUAGUAGCCGAAGAGGAAGGGACGGCUAACUCUGUGCCAGCAGCCGCGGUAAUACAGAGGUCCCGAGCGUUGUUCGGAUUCAUUGGGCGUAAAGGGUGCGUAGGCGGUCUGCUAAGUUUGAUGUGAAAUCCCGGGGCUCAACCCUGGAAUGGCAUUGAAUACUGGUGGACUAGAGUACCGGAGAGGAAACUGGAAUUUACGGUGUAGCAGUGAAAUGCGUAGAGAUCGUAAGGAAGACCAGUGGCGAAGGCGAGUUUCUGGACGGUAACUGACGCUGAGGCACGAAGGCCAGGGGAGCAAACGG